rnacentral:rRNA from 1 species
UAGGGAAUCUUCCGCAAUGGACGCAAGUCUGACGGAGCAACGCCGCGUGAGUGAAGAAGGAUUUCGGUUCGUAAAACUCUGUUGUUAGAGAAGAACAGCGCAUAGAGUAACUGUUAUGCGUGUGACGGUAUCUAACUAGAAAGCCACGGCUAACUACGUGCCAGCAGCCGCGGUAAUACGUAGGUGGCAAGCGUUGUCCGGAUUUAUUGGGCGUAAAGCGAGCGCAGGCGGUCAAUUAAGUCUGAUGUGAAAGCCCCCGGCUCAACCGGGGAGGGUCAUUGGAAACUGGUUGACUUGAGUGCAGAAGAGGAGAGUGGAAUUCCAUGAGUAGCGGUGAAAUGCGUAGUUAUAUGGAGGAACACCAGUGGCGAAGGCGACUCUCUGGUCUGUAACUGACGCUGAGGCUCGAAAGCGUGGGUAGCAAACAGG